GCAGCAGUGGGGAAUAUUGCACAAUGGGCGAAAGCCUGAUGCAGCGACGCCGCGUGAGGGAUGACGGCCUUCGGGUUGUAAACCUCUUUCAGUAGGGAAGAAGCGAAAGUGACGGUACCUGCAGAAGAAGCACCGGCUAACUACGUGCCAGCAGCCGCGGUAAUACGUAGGGUGCGAGCGUUAUCCGGAAUUAUUGGGCGUAAAGAGCUCGUAGGCGGUUUGUCGCGUCUGUCGUGAAAGUCCGGGGCUUAACCCCGGAUCUGCGGUGGGUACGGGCAGACUAGAGUGCAGUAGGGGAGACUGGAAUUCCUGGUGUAGCGGUGGAAUGCGCAGAUAUCAGGAGGAACACCGAUGGCGAAGGCAGGUCUCUGGGCUGUAACUGACGCUGAGGAGCGAAAGCAUGGGGAGCGAACAGGAUUAGAUACCCUGGUAGUCCAUGCCGUAAACGUUGGGCACUAGGUGUGGGGACCAUUCCACGGUUUCCGCGCCGCAGCUAACGCAUUAAGUGCCCCGCCUGGGGAGUACGGCCGCAAGGCUAAAACUCAAAGGAAUUGACGGGGGCCCGCACAAGCGGCGGAGCAUGCGGAUUAAUUCGAUGCAACGCGAAGAACCUUACCAAGGCUUGACAUGUUCUCGAUCGCCGUAGAGAUACGGUU
rnacentral:rRNA from 1 species